rnacentral:rRNA from 1 species
GACGGAGGAUGCAAGCGUUAUCCGGAAUGAUUGGGCGUAAAGCGUCCGCAGGUGGCCGUUCAAGUCUGCUGUCAAAGACCGGGGCUUAACUUCGGAAAGGCAGUGGAAACUGAACAGCUAGAGUAUGGUAGGGGCAGAGGGAAUUCCUGGUGUAGCGGUGGAAUGCGUAGAGAUCAGGAAGAACAUCGGUGGCGAAGGCGCUCUGCUGGACCAUAACUGACACUCAGGGACGAAAGCUAGGGGAGCGAAUGGG